AUUGAACGCUGGCGGCAUGCCUUACACAUGCAAGUCGAAUGGUAACAGGUCUUCGGAUGCUGACAAGUGGCGAACGGGUGAGUAAUACAUCGGAACGUGCCCGAUCGUGGGGGAUAACGCAGCGAAAGCUGUGCUAAUACCGCAUACGAUCUACGGAUGAAAGCGGGGGAUCUUCGGACCUCGCGCGGACGGAGCGGCCGAUGGCAGAUCAGGUAGUUGGUGGGGUAAAGGCUUACCAAGCCUACGAUCUGUAGCUGGUCUGAGAGGACGACCAGCCAGACUGGGACUGAGACACGGCCCAGACUCCUACGGGAGGCAGCAGUGGGGAAUUUUGGACAAUGGGCGAAAGCCUGAUCCAGCAAUGCCGCGUGCAGGAAGAAGGCCUUCGGGUUGUAAACUGCUUUUGUACGGAACGAAAAGGUUUCCUCUAAUACAGGGGGCCGAUGACGGUACCGUAAGAAUAAGCACCGGCUAACUACGUGCCAGCCGCCGCGGUAA
rnacentral:rRNA from 1 species